AUUGAACGCUGGCGGCAGGCCUAACACAUGCAAGUCGAACGGUAGCACAGAGAGCUUGCUCUCGGGUGACGAGUGGCGGACGGGUGAGUAAUGUCUGGGAAACUGCCCGAUGGAGGGGGAUAACUACUGGAAACGGUAGCUAAUACCGCAUAACGUCGCAAGACCAAAGUGGGGGACCUUCGGGCCUCACACCAUCGGAUGUGCCCAGAUGGGAUUAGCUAGUGGGUGGGGUAAUGGCUCACCUAGGCGACGAUCCCUAGCUGGUCUGAGAGGAUGACCCGCCACGCUGGAACUGAGACACGGUCCAGACUCCUACGGGAGGCAGCAGUGGGGAAUAUUGCACAAUGGGCGCAAGCCUGAUGCAGCCAUGCCGCGUGUAUGAAGAAGGCCUUCGGGUUGUAAAGUACUUUCAGCGGGGAGGAAGGCGGUGAAGUUAAUAACUUCACCGAUUGACGUUACCCGCAGAAGAAGCACCGGCUAACUCCGUGCCAGCCGCCGCCGUAA
rnacentral:rRNA from 1 species